UGGAUUCAGCGGCGGACGGGUGAGUAAUGCCUAGGAAUCUGCCUGGUAGUGGGGGAUAACGUCCGGAAACGGGCGCUAAUACCGCAUACGUCCUGAGGGAGAAAGUGGGGGAUCUUCGGACCUCACGCUAUCAGAUGAGCCUAGGUCGGAUUAGCUAGUUGGUGGGGUAAAGGCCUACCAAGGCGACGAUCCGUAACUGGUCUGAGAGGAUGAUCAGUCACACUGGAACUGAGACACGGUCCAGACUCCUACGGGAGGCAGCAGUGGGGAAUAUUGGACAAUGGGCGAAAGCCUGAUCCAGCCAUGCCGCGUGUGUGAAGAAGGUCUUCGGAUUGUAAAGCACUUUAAGUUGGGAGGAAGGGCAGUAAGUUAAUACCUUGCUGUUUUGACGUUACCAACAGAAUAAGCACCGGCUAACUUCGUGCCAGCAGCCGCGGUAAUACGAAGGGUGCAAGCGUUAAUCGGAAUUACUGGGCGUAAAGCGCGCGUAGGUGGUUCAGCAAGUUGGAUGUGAAAUCCCCGGGCUCAACCUGGGAACUGCAUCCAAAACUACUGAGCUAGAGUACGGUAGAGGGUGGUGGAAUUUCCUGUGUAGCGGUGAAAUGCGUAGAUAUAGGAAGGAACACCAGUGGCGAANGCGACCACCUGGACUGAUACUGACACUGAGGUGCGAAAGCGUGGGGAGCAAACAGGA
rnacentral:rRNA from 1 species